AGGGCCCGGCCGGAUCCGUGCCGCGGCUGCCGCGAGGUCGCCGGUCCUCGCCGUGCUGUCUCCUCCCCUCAGGAGGCAGCUGUGCUCCGGGGUGAGGCGAGCCUUCCGAACGCCGUCUGCUCUGUGGUGUUCCCGCCGCGGCGCGGCCUGGCAGCGCUCAGCGCCCCUCAUGAGUUCCCUGUGGGCAGGGAGCGGGAGGAGCCCGACCCGCCGGCAGCUACCUGAGCGCGGCGGUGGGAGGGGGUUGGGGAGCGGCUGGAGGCUGCUGGGUGGGCCGGGGAGCGUCCGCAGUGCCGCUGGGGCUUCGAAGGUGUCCCGGAGGAAAAAAAGAGCCAGGCGUGCCAGGAGGAAUAUCUUCUCCAUUUCCUGAUAUGUUUGCGGAGAAAAGACCCACAGCUGUAGGAAAUAAAAGGACACACAUACUUGAAAGACUUCUCGCAUAAAUGUUUUUGAAACCUGCUGAAAACGCUGCAGAAACCCAAGAAUCAGUUACUGUACCGGCUGGGAAGAAAAGCUUUUUCUUCUACAUGGGUAUGUUCUCCUCUGUGUCUUGGCAAGGCCUGCUUUCUGAGCUUCCUGCUAGAAGAGAAGCCAUUUCAGUAGAUGAUGGAUAAUGAGCCCGGCUCAGUUCUCAUGACUAACAAAAUCAUGCCCGUGCUCUCUGUUCCCAACUGUAAGGUUUUUCCAGAGCUCAGCAAGUAGGGAGGACACCAAACCUGAAAAACUGGCCAGCAGGUAACUACAGGUAAACUGAUAAUUUUCUCAACAUCUUCGUCAGAUUUACAAGACAGAUAGACUGUUACCUGAGUACGAUGUGUAUCCUCAAAUCAAGUCUCUCAGCAAAAGCCAUCUGUGAUUUAUUGAGAAGAGAUAUUAUCUCCUUCAUACAUUAAAUUAUUCUGUGAAGUAUUUGGGGGCAUUUCUUGUAUCUAAACUGUCUUGUAUCUUUCACUGUCUUAACUGCUUCUAUGGAAUUUCAGAUUUGCUCUUUGUGAGGAACAGAAGCUUUGCAGCUCUUUCCCCACGUGCUGUUUUUGUUCCCUGAAUGGCCCCAAGUUUCUGCAUAAGUUGUACAAAUCUUUCUUAUAAAUCUCAUAUUUCAUUCUGCUUUAGUAAAGCUGAGAUAUAUCGAUUUAAGAUAAAUGCUUCGUAUUUUUCAGCUAAAAUAAUGAAGUACCAUCUUGAAAUUAUUGGAAAGGUGACAAAAUUGGCUUUAUCAGAUUAUGAAACUGCAGAUAACGGUGGAUAAAUGCAGGUAAAACACAUUUCUCAGAAUCUAAACUUAUAAUUAAAGAACGUUGACCAUAGGCAGUAGAAACAAGUAAAGCAGUAACUUUAUCACAGUGGGAUUUCAAAGAUCCGUAGUAAUUUCACAGUAAGGCAAAUGAAAAAAAAAAGUAUGUUUUCACUGUGCUUGAUGUAUCAUUUAGGAACGUGUUUCCAUUUGUUGCUACCAGACAUUUUAUCUCUUAUGGAAAGCACUUAGAGCUCAAGCAGGAAUAUAUACUUGAGCUAGAAAAGCAAAAAUAUUCAUGCAUGAAUAUAUUUAUAUGAAAAUAUGUAUUGUAAUAUGCAGUCAAAAAAACUACAGGGUCAUAUUUUAUGCUAACGAAAAAGUCUGUUAUCUCUAGAUCACAGAAUUAGAGGCAUCUUGGUUAUAUAAUGAGCAAAAGACUCGCAAGUGAGUCUACAAAGCCAGCAUGGACGUCCUGCCUUGUUUUCAGCCUGGUUUUGGACAGAGACAUGGCCACGCACGGUAUUCCAAAUUCAAUACAACUCUCAGCUACUAAAUGCUGACGUUUUCAAAAUAUACUUAUUUUAGUUGUGUUUAUUUGAUAGGAACAUGGUAUUUGGAAAAUACACAGUGAAUUUGAACAUAAUAUGGUCUUCAUUUGAGCAGCGGGGAAGGUGCACACUGAUGCUACUGUUAGUAGGCCUGGGCUAUUCAUCUAGCCUAUGUUUAAGGAGGUCCCCAUAAAACACAAGUCCUGACCUUAUAGCUGGGUUCACAUAAGGAGGAUCCUUAUGCUUACGGAGCUCUGAUUAAGUCAACAAGGCUAGACAUCGGUACUGAUCCUGUGUGAUUGGAUUAUGGGAUUGAAGCUGUCAUUUGUCCUACUAAACCAACCUAAGUUACUUAAACAGAUAAAUCUAGUUAUCAGAUUUUGUUUCUUAGCAAUAACACUUUCCAAAACGCAAAACAAGCAAACAAAAAGCCCACCCCCUUGCUUUCCUCACGUUUUUACUGGACUGCUUCACCUUUUAGAUUGCAUUAUCACAGAGCGUAUAUAGGACUGCAAAGAUAACAGAAAGAACAACUCCAAGUGCAAAAGUAAUAAAGGUGUUAUUUCCUUUUCCCAUAAAACUGAUAUAAAAUACGUCUCUUUAAUUCCUUCUGAUCCUGCUUAAGCCCACCCCACCACGGGCCCUGUGCUGUUUGACAGAGAUCCUUCUGUAAAGGCAGAUCAGUUUGUAACCGCGUUAUCCCAUGCUGUAAUUCACUCCUCAUCCUGUAUUUCUGGCAAAAUGACUUAACAAAAUUAAACCAGUAAUGUGUUCUUAGCACUUUUUUUUUUCUCGUGAGGUCUGUCCCUGCCCUGAGUUCAUGCUUUGCCUCUCAGGUUUGUGUGUGUUACAGGAGUCCUUACAUGUCAUUGACUGCCAGGGCUGGAGCAUCUGCUGGGAGGUAGAAAUGCAGUUCCUUCCCAGGCAGAUCAGCUGCUGGAUUUGGCAAGCACAGAUGAGUAACAAAAGUUUACCAGAUGUGUUUUAACUGAUAAAUGCAUUCUUUUGUGGCAACUAUAGUAGUGAUAACAACAUACAAAGCACAGUUGAAGCUUUGGACAAUGCUGUUUCAAUAGCAGCCUUCAGAAAAACACACUUCCUGUUGGGGAAAGAGGCUGCUGCUCAAUAGUCGGUUCAGGAACAGCUACAAGGCCUGGUGGGUAUUUUAUGAAAAUACUUCAGAACUGUCUGUAAAUUGGGCAAGUAGCACCGAGCCUUGCUUAAUUGACUGUUAAAAACAAACACAAACAGCAAUCCGGUGAUGGAAAUCUCUGCAGACUUCUAGAUUGCUGGCGUUAGAAACUGAACAGUUUUGCUAAAUAGAAAUUACGUUAUCAACUGCAAAUGAAUUAUUUUAAACCAGAAAGAAAAGUGAGGGAGAGCACUGAAAAUCAUGUUUCAUAAUGUCAGUGCAGACCAGACAGGUGGUAUUUGAAGCAGCAGGCUGUAGGGGACACUUACCUUAAAUCAAAGUGAAGGGCCAAAAAGCACGCUGUAGUCUCUACAGGUGUUCUCACUGAGAGAGACGGCGAACAGAAGAUGCAACCGACCUAAAAUGUACAAACAAGCACUUAGAGAGGUGCUCUCCUGUAUCUCAGAUUGGUACUUAAAUACUUUUCUAUUGUAGGAGGGGAGCAAAGGCCAGAAAGUGGAAACGUCCUGAUUAUUUCUAACUCUGGAAUCAGCCCUGCAUGCUUGCAGUCAGCGUGCAGUACUUGGAAUGCAAGGCUUAAGAUCUGAAAAGCUAUUUAGGAAUCUCUGCUGUAAAAAAUAUGUUUUAUUACAAGAGGCCAGACAGGAACACUGAACUUGGAAGGGUCGUUUGUGAAUAACUUCUAGCUUAAGUGAUUAAAGGCUGCACUCUCCAGCUCCUCCACCCAACCUAAAAAAUGUGUUAGAAACAUCCUGCUUUGUCAUUGCUGCUGGCCUUUUCUUCAGUGAGCAAGAGAGGAGCAUUGGACUUUUGUGUUGGCUUUGGUCCUGUGCCCCUGGGGAUGCUUUUAACAAUGCAUAAUAGCUUAAAGAAUUCUGAAACGUUUUUAUCAUUUCCUUUGAACUGUGAGGAUAAAGAUAAAUAAAGGAGAUUUUGGUAUGCACAGAAAGCAAAUAGACAGCACUUCCUAAGGCUCACAAUAUUUACAAUGUGCUUUUACAAGCACGCUGUAGUACUCGUUAACAGGACCCCAUCCAUUCUCUAUUUUUUAAAAUGGAAGGCAAAGCAUUCCAUGUACUUCUCAAAAGUGUUCUUAUAAAGAAAGAAAAUUACAUCUUUUCUACCCAUUUAGCAUGAUUUUCUUUCCUCUUCUAAAAUUAAACUGUGGCACAAGACUAGACUAACUUAAGUCAGGAAAUACUUUGGAAUUGAAUUCAAUCUGAUUGGUUCAUUAAGGCACGGCAAAGAAAGAAGGUGUAAAAAGCACUGGGUGUAAUUAGCCUGGAGCUCAGCUGGUGGACUCCCAAGGCCAAGCAUAAACACACCUGUGUUCUCACAAAGGUUUUCAAUUUGUUUGCUAUGUGACGAGCACACCUCUCUCAAAUUAUGCCUCUAAAACAAAACAAGAAUAGCCUCUACAUAAUCAGAAACAGGAACUUAAAAGCUAUGUGUACAUCUAUAUGAUAUUUAGAUUGCAACACUGGAAUGAGCAGCAGCACAGUUUGUUCUGUUGAGUACAGACAAAAGAUCCUUUUUUUUAAAGACAUUUAUUUCUGCUUUUAAAUAGCUUGAUAAAACCCACAGUUGGUAUUCAGAGUUAAAAUGUAAACAUUUACAGUAAGUUACCGCUGUGUAUUAAUUCUGUACAUCAAACUAUUUGCAGUGACAAUCCAUAAGACCAGUCAAAUUCAGCAUAUUUAUGAACUGAAAUGCACCAUACUAAGAUAAAACAAUGCCAUAACUGAACAUAUUGGAAAGAUGUUCAACUCCCUCCUGUGGUGUAAGUGAGCAGCAUCACAACCAGCUUCUGGAAGCUCAGACAGCACUCUAAUAACCAAACGCCUGAACUUAGUGCAGUAGGACAACAGAUUUCAAGCUUACUGUGGAAACUCGGAACUUAAAAAGCGUUGGAUUUCUAAAAUACAUACAAAGCUGUAAACAUUUUUCUCUGGAACACACAUUAAAAUGGUUUGUGCCAACCUUCUCUGUCUCCCACAUGGAAAAAAAAGAAUUAGGCCAAAGACUAUAGACUGAAAUUGUUUUGCACGGGUAACAUCACAGCUUGCAGGAAGUGUUACAGUGUCAGCAGUUACAAUUAGUGUUAGUCAGCAGCAGGGAGCACAGCCCAUUUCCAAGAAAGCCGAUGGAAAACUCAUCCACCGAUGGGUCAGGCACUACGCAUUGAUUUACCUACAAAAAUGUAUCACACUCAGGUAUUUAUGUAUUGAAUGGGUGAAACUGACUACAACCAGAAGCCCAAAGCACACCGCUACUUGUAGAGGACUGAUUUUUAGCCAGUUUUGGGCAUCGCAUUCUAACUAUGUGGCUCUUCCAUAAAGAAGGAAGAUGUUCAAAGCAGACUACACUGAGAUGACAGAAGUACCCAGCAUCACGUCAAGGCACAUACUCUUCACACAAGUCUCUCAGGCCAUUAUUAUUAAUUUUUUUUAAGCGUUGAAGUUUUCAAUUUGAUUUCCCCACUAACAAUGAAGAAACUGCUUACUUGAUCUGACUCUUGUGUGACCAGUUCCAAAGAGACCGAGGCCACUGAGCCUUUGGAAUGCAGCACAGAAUUCAUUUCACUUCACAAGGGUUAACUUAAUGCAGGCUAGUAAAGGAGGAUAGCGUCAUUCUAACACUGCCGUAUUAUUUAUUCUCCCAACAACUGUCAGCAGGCAGUUUACCCAUGUCCUUGCAUUCAGUAUACGAGCUGAUCAUCAAUAUUAAUAUUUCCACAAACAAGUUGUUUAUCUGAAAGUUCUGUCAAGUGCAGCUCUUCACUGGGGAUUGAGGCUUUGUAGUCUGAGAUCUCAAGAGGGGAUUAAUCACAAGUAUUUAAAACAAUCCUAAGAAGUUCCUUUUUCCCUGGUUAGGCUGUGCAUCACAGAAAGCAGCACCAGGAUGCACUUUGUAAUGCACACUCUUGAACGUACUCUUAAAACCUCAUGCAAGAUUUUUUUUCAGAAAGUUAUAAUAUUGACUUAAAAAAAAUCAGCCUUGAAGCUGGAAUUGUUGCUUUUCUAAACAUCAGCCACAACGUAUUUGAUGAGCCCUACAUUGCAGCUGCAGUUCUCAUGUGACAGAGGUAAUACAUCUUGCUUUGAAGGGAAAAAGCAGGAAAACAUCCUGCUGGCUCCCUAUUGCUCUGCCAGAUACACCGCUUGUCACACAGCCGAGUCACCCUGUGGAUACUGAAAUCUCUACAUGGUUUCUGUCAAUUUCUUAUUCAUAAUUAAUUGCAGGGGAGUGUUUCUGAAAAGGAACAGAAUUUCAGCAUAUGCUUAUGUUAGAGUUUAUGGGAAGGGAGGAGAAGGCAGUUACAGGUAGGACCAGGCCAUAAUUAAAAAACCAAACAAAAAACCUGGCGAUCAGCUGACAUGUUGGGCAAGUAGGGACAGACUUCUUCCACAAAGGAAAAGAACGUACACUUUUAGCACAUGUAUACGCAUACAUAAGGAGGGAUAAGGGAGGAGAAAAAAGGCAAACUUUGGCAAAGGUUAAGAAAGUGCAGUCUUUACAGUCCUAAAAAAACCCACCAAACGAUAACACUGAGAAAGCAAAAGGCUGAAAGCUACCUACAGUUCCAACUGUCUCGUGGCACAAGACAAUGCACACGAUUCCUAAGAUUGCACUGUCUGUCACCACACUGAGAAUUACACCACCACCUCUACUUCAUUUUGCAUUGUAAUGCCAGAAAGUAAAUAAUAGUUUACAUAAGCAUUCCAACAUCAUACUGUGAUAAUAGGUUUUUUUUUUUUACCCACAUGCAGAGUUCUGUGCACACACAUUUAAAAGUGUAUUUUCUGUUUUUAAGCAGUACACCAUAUAGUCAACUUCCAUUAAGCGUAUGUUUGAGGGAAAGUAUCAGGCAAUUAAUCUAAAUACUUAAUAUUUUCUUAAUUAGUCUUCUAAUGGCAGGAAGAACUCUUUGCUAUGCAGUGCAGGAGGGAUCUGGACGCUGAUCAAUGACCCUUCAAUGAGCAGGAGUUGUUCAGCACAAAUACCCCUUUACAGCAGCAACAGAACAGCAAGGCGUGAGAACGGGAAGUAAAAAGGCAACUCCUGGUUCAGUUUAAGGAUCCCCUGCCCCUUUUAAAUCUUAUCUUUCUGUACUAUAAUCAUCCCAAAACAACCCUAACACCACACGCACUCAGAAAAGCAGUUCCACACCUGACUUUUUGAGGCCACAAAACUCCAUGCAAACCUGAUUCUUAGCUGAGACAUUUUCCAUCUUCUGAGUUAAUGUCAAAACAUUUGUGGGGAGAACAGUGGCCUAAACCACACACUGUGUUUUACUUAUAUAUAGUUACAAAGGACAGAUAUCAUUCUGGCUUACUGUUCUUCCCUAAAGAAGGAGAAAAAAAAAAAAUCCAUUUGAGCAUUGUCUCCACCAGUGAAACAGUUCUAUCAGUGCAAGAAUAGUGCUUUCUAUUUAUGGCCUUCCUGAGCUUAAAGUGCAGUAUAUUACGUGAGAUUUUAGCUUCACAAUUAUCCUUUAUUUGAAUUUCAGAAGGAAUGUUUCGAGUUAGAAAGUUAACUUCUAGGACUUAAGCAAUAAAAUCCAAGACAAAGUACUAUAACCUAUCUUAAAAAUGAAUGAAAUCCACAAGACACUCUUUAAAUUUGAUGUUCAAUAUACAUAUAAUACAUGAAAACCCAUCAUAUCACUUAACUGCAUUGCAUCUGUAUUUAAAGUGAUCCGGUAACAAGGAAUUAAAGGCCACUCAAUACAAGUUUUGCUUAAAACAGGACUAUAUUGCCUGGACUGUGAUACGUAGCAUGGUUCAGGAUUCCCUCCUGCAUAGGCUUAUCAGUAACGAGACAGCCCUUGGCACUGCACUGUGCACACAUUUAACUCUACCAGUGGCUUCCCUCAUUUUUCCUUUUUUCUUUUUUGAAAUGAUCACUAAUAGUAGACAAGUUAAAAACUGCAUUGGUAAUGUUAUGCCUUUAGCUAUUCCUCUUGCCCAUUAACAUUAUAAUACUAAGAAACUUUUGUUUUAUGCAACUCUGGUUCCCAAAGAUACGUAGCUCCCAAAUGAUGUACAGCAGGGAAGGGAAUCUUCCAGGCUAUAGGUUCUCUACAUAGGAAGUUUGAGCAAUCAGCUGUGACUGCGUUUGAGUACAGCUUUACAAAAACAACCAAGGCAGCCCACCACGCAGGAAGAGUAUUUCUGUACUGGUGCAGCUACUGAGAGAAAUCAAGUUGCAGUUACACAAUUUCUAUUUUUUUAAGCAGCCAAGCCAGCUUUAACAGGCUCCAGCUCCAUUCCCCAUCUUCAUCCCUUUACCCACAGCUCUGCCAGCUGUUCUUGGGAUUCAUUUGCAUACAGACAACCGUUAACAUCAUCACUCAAAUAAGCUACAGGCUUCUGGGGGAAAGUGUCUCUGUGCCUUAUAUUUGGGGGUUUUAGAUCCAUAUUUACUUAAGCAAUCUUGAUUCACAAAGCAGUACUACCACUGCAAAGGUGAAAAACUGCAGUAGUGGAGAUGGGAGUGAAUAGGACGAGCUGUUUGACUAGAAGGAAACUAUUGCUGUCAAGAUAUUUACAUACAGUACACAAUCUAUUGUUACUUUAAAGCUUCUGGUAAUUUUGAGACUGGGAGUCGUAGCCAAAAGUCUGGAAGUUUAACACUUAAAACUUUAACAGUUUAACACGUGAGGGAAAAGGUUAUUUUCUAAAUUAAAGCAAAUGGCUUUUUAUUUCUUCUAACAUCCAGAAGAAAUAAUCAGCCAGUUGGGAUAAUACAAACAAAGCACACCAUGUAACAGAGGAAUUACUAUACCUGACUCUCAGCUCUACAGUAAAGUCAGUCCAGCACGUCCCCCUACCAUGCUGCUAACCAGCAUCUCACCUUCAUAGUCAAGGACUUUUCUAUGCUGGUGUGUUUAAAAAUAAGAAUUAGAAACACGCCUAGCUUUUCAGAUGAAUGCAGUUGAAACUAAAUACCACAUCUGCUUUGAAGUGAAGUAAGUUAGAUAGCAAAAGUGACACUUAGCCUGUCAGUCACUGGUAUGAGUUUCAUCCCCAUUAAAUCCCUACUUGUGACUCAGAGUGAGGAGUUAGCUGAAGACACAUGCUAACCAGCCACAUCAGCACCUCCCUUUUCAGGCAAGUCCACAGAGCACACUGAACCUACCUAUAACAAAACUCCCUUCAUUGAGAAUGUUGGACACAAA